UAGAGCCAAGGGCAAACCCGGUGAAAGCCGGGGGCGCAAAGCUACAGGGUCUACGGCAUUUUCGGAUGCUAUGAUAGCCUGGCUGCCAAA
rfam:Desulfitobacterium hafniense Y51 DNA, complete genome.